rnacentral:rRNA from 1 species
GACAGGGGUCCCGAGCGUUAGGCGGAAUCACUGGGCUUAAAGCGUGUGUAGGCGGAUUUGUAAGUACCUUGUGAAAUCCCACGGCUCACCCGUGGAACUGCUCGGUAUACUGGGUCGCUUGAGCCACUUAGGGGCUACCGGAACAAAUGGUGGAGCGGUGAAAUGCGUAGAUAUCAUUUGGAACGCCAAUGGUGAAAACAGGUAGCUGGGAGUGUGCUGACGCUGAGACACGAAAGCCAGGGGAGCAAACGGG